CCAUCCUCCAAGGCUAAAUACUCCUGACUGACCGAUAGUGAACCAGUACCGUGAGGGAAAGGCGAAAAGAACCCCGGCGAGGGGAGUGAAAAAGAACCUGAAACCGUGUACGUACAAGCAGUGGGAGCACGCUUAGGCGUGUGACUGCGUACCUUUUGUAUAAUGGGUCAGCGACUUAUAUUCUGUAGCAAGGUUAACCGAAUAGGGGAGCCGAAGGGAAACCGAGUCUUAACUGGGCGUUAAGUUGCAGGGUAUAGACCCGAAACCCGGUGAUCUAGCCAUGGGCAGGUUGAAGGUUGGGUAACACUAACUGGAGGACCGAACCGACUAAUGUUGAAAAAUUAGCGGAUGACUUGUGGCUGGGGGUGAAAGGCCAAUCAAACCGGGAGAUAGCUGGUUCUCCCCGAAAGCUAUUUAGGUAGCGCCUCGUGAAUUCAUCUCCGGGGGUAGAGCACUGUUUCGGCAAGGGGGUCAUCCCGACUUACCAACCCGAUGCAAACUGCGAAUACCGGAGAAUGUUAUCACGGGAGACACACGGCGGGUGCUAACGUCCGUCGUGAAGAGGGAAACAACCCAGACCGCCAGCUAAGGUCCCAAAGUCAUGGUUAAGUGGGAAACGAUGUGGGAAGGCCCAGACAGCCAGGAUGUUGGCUUAGAAGCAGCCAUCAUUUAAAGAAAGCGUAAUAGCUCACUGGUCGAGUCGGCCUGCGCGGAAGAUGUAACGGGGCUAAACCAUGCACCGAAGCUGCGGCAGCGACGCUUAUGCGUUGUUGGGUAGGGGAGCGUUCUGUAAGCCUGUGAAGGUGUGCUGUGAGGUAUGCUGGAGGUAUCAGAAGUGCGAAUGCUGACAUAAGUAACGAUAAAGCGGGUGAAAAGCCCGCUCGCCGGAAGACCAAGGGUUCCUGUCCAACGUUAAUCGGGGCAGGGUGAGUCGACCCCUAAGGCGAGGCCGAAAGGCGUAGUCGAUGGGAAACAGGUUAAUAUUCCUGUACUUGGUGUUACUGCGAAGGGGGGACGGAGAAGGCUAUGUUGGCCGGGCGACGGUUGUCCCGGUUUAAGCGUGUAGGCUGGUUUUCCAGGCAAAUCCGGAAAAUCAAGGCCGAGGCGUGAUGACGAGGCACUACGGUGCUGAAGCAACAAAUGCCCUGCUUCCAGGAAAAGCCUCUAAGCAUCAGGUAACAUCAAAUCGUACCCCAAACCGACACAGGUGGUCAGGUAGAGAAUACCAAGGCGCUUGAGAGAACUCGGGUGAAGGAACUAGGCAAAAUGGUGCCGUAACUUCGGGAGAAGGCACGCUGAUACGUAGGUGAAGCGACUUGCUCGUGGAGCUGAAAUCAGUCGAAGAUACCAGCUGGCUGCAACUGUUUAUUAAAAACACAGCACUGUGCAAACACGAAAGUGGACGUAUACGGUGUGACGCCUGCCCGGUGCCGGAAGGUUAAUUGAUGGGGUUAGCGCAAGCGAAGCUCUUGAUCGAAGCCCCGGUAAACGGCGGCCGUAACUAUAACGGUCCUAAGGUAGCGAAAUUCCUUGUCGGGUAAGUUCCGACCUGCACGAAUGGCGUAAUGAUGGCCAGGCUGUCUCCACCCGAGACUCAGUGAAAUUGAACUCGCUGUGAAGAUGCAGUGUACCCGCGGCAAGACGGAAAGACCCCGUGAACCUUUACUAUAGCUUGACACUGAACAUUGAGCCUUGAUGUGUAGGAUAGGUGGGAGGCUUUGAAGUGUGGACGCCAGUCUGCAUGGAGCCGACCUUGAAAUACCACCCUUUAAUGUUUGAUGUUCUAACGUGGACCCGUGAUCCGGGUUGCGGACAGUGUCUGGUGGGUAGUUUGACUGGGGCGGUCUCCUCCUAAAGAGUAACGGAGGAGCACGAAGGUUGGCUAAUCCUGGUCGGACAUCAGGAGGUUAGUGCAAUGGCAUAAGCCAGCUUGACUGCGAGCGUGACGGCGCGAGCAGGUGCGAAAGCAGGUCAUAGUGAUCCGGUGGUUCUGAAUGGAAGGGCCAUCGCUCAACGGAUAAAAGGUACUCCGGGGAUAACAGGCUGAUACCGCCCAAGAGUUCAUAUCGACGGCGGUGUUUGGCACCUCGAUGUCGGCUCAUCACAUCCUGGGGCUGAAGUAGGUCCCAAGGGUAUGGCUGUUCGCCAUUUAAAGUGGUACGCGAGCUGGGUUUAGAACGUCGUGAGACAGUUCGGUCCCUAUCUGCCGUGGGCGCUGGAGAACUGAGGGGGGCUGCUCCUAGUACGAGAGGACCGGAGUGGACGCAUCACUGGUGUUCGGGUUGUCAUGCCAAUGGCACUGCCCGGUAGCUAAAUGCGGAAGAGAUAAGUGCUGAAAGCAUCUAAGCACGAAACUUGCCCCGAGAUGAGUUCUCCCUGACCCUUUAAGGGUCCUGAAGGAACGUUGAAGACGACGACGUUGAUAGGCCGGGUGUGUAAGCGCAGCGAUGCGUUGAGCUAACCGGUACUAAUGAACCGUGAGGCUUAACCUU
rnacentral:rRNA from 1 species